rnacentral:tRNA from 1 species
GCGUUCGUAGCUCAGCUGGAUAGAGCGACGGACUUCGAAUCCGUAGGCCGCAGGUUCGAGUCCUGUCGAGCGCG